GCUGUUUGUGCACAGGACAAAAUCAGAGCCACCAGAGCAGCUUAGCAAAGGCCUUGGGGCCCGCCCACGCACAGGGAGACAGAACUUGCCCUCUGAGCCAAGCCACAUGGAUUUGCCUGAGGGGAAAAAAUAAACAACAUUCCCCGAGGGGUUUUUAACAAGGCUGCAUUCCUUCUAGUUUCUUAUAUUCUGUGUUCUUGAUGCCUUGGCAUCUGGGGCCUUGCUGACCUGGGACAGACUACCCCUCCCAGGGUUAACUGAUUCCUAGAGAUAGCAAACAACUCACCUGUCAGACCAGCCUUCAGGGGAAACCAACCAAGCUGGAGUCAGCCCACCCCCACCUCCCCUGUCUGGCCCUUGAGCACCAAACACAUUUGCCCCUUCCCUGAUCGUCUCAGGGCCAGGUGCCCAACAACUCAGGUGGCCCCCAACCCAGAGCCUGCUGAAAGCAUUCAAACUGGCCAGUCCUAAGUCAGCAUACGCUGCCUCGCCCAUUCCUUCCUGCAGAUCCCAUGAUGAAGGUGCCUGCCACCUUCUCCUCCCCUUCCUUCUGUCCAUGACCAACCCUUGUGCUUUCAUGGUGUCCCUGCAUGUGGAGGCACACCCCACCUCUUGAGAGCUGGCAAUUGUGACUUCCUUUGGUGGCCUCACCAUACCUGGAUAAUAAUAAAACUUACACUUUAAAAUGAAGACCCAGAGCUUACACAAAAUCAUGUCGAAAAUGACCAUGAUGCAACUGAAAAUUAAUUGACAUAUAAAUCACCAGGAAAAUGUGACCAGUUCUCAAGAGAGAAGAUCCCAAGCCUGAAAAGACCCAAUGUCAAAGUUAUCCCCAAAAGACUCUGAAGCGACGCUCGCAUACUUGUGCUCAGUGAGAUGAAGGAACGAUGAGGACGGCAUAGUGUGGCCAGGGUCCAGGACAGCCGCUGACGCCAGAUCCCCCAUAAGUAACAUCUACCCUCAGGGACGUGUCUGCACCAGUGAGACUGCUGCUCUGGAUUCGGGAGCUGCAGUUUCAAGAGGUGUGGUGAGCUUCCUGGGCCUGCUGACUUCAGUGUCACAUCCCAGAGCUUCGUCUACUGAAACACCCGGCUAAUGGACGCAGCCACGCAUCGUAACAGUCCGCCCACCAAGCCUCAGGUGGCUUGGCUCUUUACAGAAAUUCACAAUCAUUCCACAUGACAGCCCACCGGCAUCUGAGGUGCCAGCAAAAGCCAUAUUAUUUUGCUAAUAUCUAACAAUUCAGAGGCAGAUGUCACAGCAGAUAUUCCAUAGUUUUUGAGUCUUCAUUGCGGUUUCUUGAUAUCGUGGACAAAGACUCAGGGAAGGCCUGAGCCUCACUGACCAGGCUCUGGAUUUUGAGUGUGCUUUCCCCAACCUUCAGAGCUUCAGGCCCUUUUUGUGCUUUAUGUAAGCCCAGAUACUGUUAAAAUAUCCUACAAGACACAGGAAAGCCCCCUGUGACCAGGAAUUAUGCAACCAAAAAUGUCAACAGUGCUGAGCUUGAGACAUCCUGGGACAGAGAGAGAGAAGGAAAAUGUCAACCCAGGACUGAGAAACACGGAUAAAUGUAUGAUGCGGAGCAGUCUUCAGGGAUGAUUCAUCAUUGUCUGUUGAGAUUUGUAGAGCAGGAAGACCUGAGCAGAUAGAGAAGUACUUCUGGUGGUAAUGGCACUUUCACAAAGUUGAGAGCUGAGAGAGUAGAAUUAUGAAAAUCCCACCUCCUUCUUGACACCCGCACUCACAAGCCUGCUGUGUGCAAUCGUAACCCAGAAACUUUGGGCUAAAGCCAAAAUUCAAACCCAAGCUAUUCUACAAGAAAGGGCAAGAAGACCCUGCCCUGAUUAACAAUGACAACAAUUUCCUUUUAAAAACUCAGAAGCCUUUCGAGUUACAGAAGUAACUCCCUGCCACCCCUGCCUGCCACAUAAAAGAAGGGAGAAGACUGUCUUAUUUUUCCCUUCUAAUUCAUUGACCCACUUCUCUUUUUUAACUUAAAAAGACCAUGCAUAAUUUGAAAAGUCAUGGGUCUCAGCAUUUCCCAAACUUCAGAAAUUAGGGGAAAUUGAAGAUGAUAUUUAGUUGAGUGAUUUCCUCUGUUUCCCCAUAAACCUUAUCGCUUAUGACUUCAGGAGACACACAGCAUCACUUGGUGGCGUAGGCUUUCUCACCCUAUGGCACUGAGCUGUCCUUGAUAGCCUCCCCCCAUGCUCUGGCUCUCCUGCUCCAGAGCCCCUCAUAAAAUAAACAAAAACCAAAACCCUGUUCUAUACCUAUUCUAUAGGACCCGCCGGCAUACACCCAGGCACUAGGUGUGAUGAGAUGGGCUGAUACCUAUUCUAUAGGACCCGCCGGCAUACACCCAGGCACUAGGUGUGAUGAGAUGGGCUGACAGAGGCUUAAUAUGUUCCUCCAUGUACUAGCAGGUGACUCUGAGACCCAAAAGAACUUGUCAUAGUAUACCAUAAUUGGCAUAAUAUCAGACUAGAGAGAAAACUCUAGAUAUUCAGGGGGCCAAAUCAGCUUUCUGUCAAUGUCUAAAUUAUGCCAAAAUAGCCAUCCUGCCUCUGGGGAAGACCAGUCCCAGGCCUAGCUGACAAUAGAUUUCAUAUUCCCUCUCCACUGGAAUGUAGAGACAUCUCAGAGAGAGAGAGAGAGGAUGGUAUGGACCACAGCACACUGUUAACAUUUAUGUUGAUGGCUUUUUUGUUGUUUAAGAGAUAAGAAGGUCUCUCUCUGUCAUCUGCACUGGAGUGCAGUGGUGAAAUCAUGGCUCACAGCAGCCUUGAACUCCUGGGCUCAAGUGAACUCUCAAAGUGUUGGGAAUACAGGUGUGAACCAUUGCAUCCUGCUGGCUUUUUAAAUAUAGUAGAAUUGAACUCAUCUUUUUAUCUGACAUUCUGUAGAGAUCAUUACAGGCCCACGAGGUUUUGCUUUUUUUAUGGGUUCUUAAAAACUACACAACAUGAUAGUGCAAAUAUACACAAUGAGGAAGGUCUCUGGAAUCAAAUCCAUUUUUCUGUGAACCUGUACAGGCAGCUUACUUAUGUCCCUGAGGUGGGGAACAGGGCAGCCCUCCACUCCACAAUUUCUUCCUCUCUGCUCUCUUUCCUGUUUCUCUAUCUCCUCCUUUCUUCUUCUUUUUCUCCCAUGUCAUUUUUUUCUUCUCUGUCUUACCUUACUUGAGCCCACCAGGAACUCCCAGGGGUACCCAGAAGAACAGCUUGGCUGGAGGUGGCACCUGCAGCUGCAGGGCCACUGGUGCCCUGAUAGGAAGAAAGGAAAGUAGGUUCUUGUGCCACAAGAUUCAUCAUCAUUCAAACAUUCAUCAAAUUUUGAUUGAAGAUUUCAUUUCUGUCAAACAAUGGCUGAGAUGAAAAGAUGAAUUAGAUACGACCCAGGACAGAAGGCCCAGGACUUCUCAUUAUUGCUGAAAAAAGGAACAUGACAACAACAGGUAAAAAUGAAAUAUGGACAAAGUCUGGAAAUUAAUGUUUUAGUGGCAUUUGAGCUCCGUUGUGGAGGAUGGCAGAUGUCAUCCGGGCUACAAACCUGUGCUGACAAAGGCACAGGUUUGUUAUGAAUGAAACCUGGUCCCAGGGUGGAAGGACACCAGAAUCACUGAAGCAGGGGCAGCAGGCCCACUGCCAGGAAGAAGCAACCUUUUCUGGGCCAUGAGAACUUUUGUUAGUCUGAGGAAGUCAAUGGAAUCUUUCUUAGAGCAAUUUUUAUCAGUGUGUAAAAUAAAUAAAAUAAAAUACAUAGGAUUACGAUGAAAACCUAUUACCUGAAAGUACAGUUCUAUCCCUGGGCUUAGCUGUGGUCCAUGGCCCCACGUGAGCU
rnacentral:lncRNA from 10 species